rnacentral:rRNA from 1 species
GUGCCAGCAGCCGCGGUAAGACGAGCCACACAAACGUUAUUCGGAAUCACUGGGCUUAAAGGGUGCGUAGGCUGCGCAGCAAGUUGGGUGUGAAAUCCUACAGCUUAACUGUAGAAGUGCACUCAAAACUGCUGUGCUCGAGGGAGACAGAGGUGAGCGGAACUGAGGGUGGAGCGGUGAAAUGCGUUGAUAUCCUCAGGAACACCGGUGGCGAAAGCGGCUCACUGGGUCUCUUCUGACGCUGAGGCACGAAAGCUAGGGUAGCGAACGGGAUUAGAAACCCCCGUAGUCC